CCUGGGGACUUUUUGUAGGCCUUUCAGGUCUAUGUUGCUUCAUUUACCCCAAUGUAUGUCGAUAAAAUGUUGUGCCGGUUUAAUAUAUACAACUUUCAGCAACGGAUCUCUUGGCUCUCGCAUCGAUGAAGAACGCAGCGAAAUGCGGGGGGGAUGUGAAUUGCAGAAUUCACUGAAUCAUCGAAUCUUUGAACGCACCUUGCGCUCCUUGGUAUUCCGAGGAGCAUGCCUGUUUGAGUGUCAUUAAUAUAUAUAUCAACCUUCUCUUUUUGAGUGGGUGGAUGGGGGGGUUUGCUGGCCUUGUGAAGGGUUCAGCUCCCCUGAAAUGCAUUAUCAGAACAACCCUGUUCAUUGUUGUGAUAACUAUCUACGCUAUUGAAUGUAAGGGGCAGUUCACCUUUCUAACACUCCUCGGACAAUUCAUCAUUAAUGUGACCUCAAAUCACGUAUGACUACCCGCUGAAC
rnacentral:rRNA from 1 species